rnacentral:rRNA from 1 species
UACGUAGGGUGCGAGCGUUAAUCGGAAUUACUGGGCGUAAAGCGUGCGCAGGCGGUUGUGUAAGUCAGAUGUGAAAUCCCCGGGCUCAACCUGGGAACUGCAUUUGAGACUGCACGGCUAGAGUGUAGCAGAGGGGGGUAGAAUUCCACGUGUAGCAGUGAAAUGCGUAGAGAUGUGGAGGAAUACCGAUGGCGAAGGCAGCCCCCUGGGUUACUACUGACGCUCAUGCACGAAAGCGUGGGGAGCAAAC